AGUGAACGCUGGCGGUAGGCCUAACACAUGCAAGUCGAACGGCAGCACAGUAAGAGCUUGCUCUUACGGGUGGCGAGUGGCGGACGGGUGAGGAAUACAUCGGAAUCUACUUUUUCGUGGGGGAUAACGUAGGGAAACUUACGCUAAUACCGCAUACGACCUACGGGUGAAAGCAGGGGAUCUUCGGACCUUGCGCGAUUGAAUGAGCCGAUGUCGGAUUAGCUAGUUGGCGGGGUAAAGGCCCACCAAGGCGACGAUCCGUAGCUGGUCUGAGAGGAUGAUCAGCCACACUGGAACUGAGACAAGGUCCAGACUCCUACGGGAGGCAGCAGUGGGGAAUAUUGGACAAUGGGCGCAAGCCUGAUUCAGCCAUACCGCGUGGGUGAAGAAGGCCUUCGGGUUGUAAAGCCCUUUUGUUGGGAAAGAAAAGCAGCAGGUUAAUACCCCGCUGUUCUGACGGUACCCAAAGAAUAAGCACCGGCUAACUUCGUG
rnacentral:rRNA from 1 species